rnacentral:rRNA from 1 species
AUUCCAGCUCCAAGAGUGUUUAUUAAAGUUGCUGCUGUUAAAAAGUUCGUAGUUGGAUUGGUCUAGGAAGGUUAAUUCGCCGUAAGGUUGUACAUUGAUUUUCGUCAAACUUCGUCAGACGCUCGUGCUCCACUUAUUUGCGUGGUACGAUGUUCUGACCUUUUUAUCUUAAGGGAAAUAGAGUGUUUCAGGCAGGUUACCCAGCUUGAAUACAAUAACCUGGAAUAAUAGAGCGGAUCUCGCUUCGAUUUCUCGGUUCGACUUCCUUGGUUCUAAGCUGAGGGUGAUCAAUAGGAACAAGCGAAGGUAUUCGUACUUGAAAAUGAGGAGGUAAAUCCGAUGAUCUCUUGAAACCGAUCCGAGGCGAAAUAAUUUGACAAGGAUGUUUUCAUCA